UGUAAAAUAUAGAUUGACAUGGAGUGAGAGAAAGACAGACAGAGGUGUUGCUGCUGUUGAUGGUAAACAGCAGCAGCAGCGGCGGCAGUAGUAAUAGUAGCAAUAGUAGCCCUGGUAGUGGCGGUGUUUAGAGGCGGCGAAGACAUCCAGCAGCGAGGGAGGCGAGUCAGACCCGAAACCAUGAAGUCAAGGAGUACAAAAACUACAAAAAACUGGAUUUUUAUAACAAACAAACCCGAAAUUAAAUGAGAAAUCCCAGAAGAAAGAAAAAUUAGUCGCUGCCACCAACAUAUUUUAUAGUAUCGUUGUUACUAUUAUCAUCAUCACCACCAUAUAAUAUCGAUUAUUCAUAACAAAUAACAAAUUAUUAUUAUUAUUAUUAUUAUUUGAUACUCUGGAUUUCUUUUAAAUCGUUUUUACCGCCUCCACACUUUAUUAGGGGAGAAAAAACUGAAGAAAAAGAUUAGCGAUACUCCGUGUACGUGUGUGUGUAUAUAGUGUUAUGAUUGUGUAUAUAUAGUGGUGUGUAUAUAGUGGUUGCAUGUUGGUGUGUAUAUAAUGCUGUGUGUAUGUGGGGGGAAAAGUGAAGAAAUCACAGCUCGUCAGUUGAUUGCAGCAUCGUUGUUUGUGUGAAUGGUAUUUAAUUAAUAAUAAUUACAAUAAUCUUAUUAUUAUUAUUAGAAGGCAAGUGGACAUUUGUUAAAUGCGGUGAAAAGACAUCGUUAAUAAUGUAAUAAUAAUAAUAAUAAUAAUAAUCUGCAUAAGUAGUGAUAAGAGAAUCUAUAAAAUAUAUAAUAUGUAAGAGAGAGAGAAGGAAGGGAAUCGGUUGUAUUAAUGAUGUAGUAAUUAAUAAUAAUAAUAAUAGUAAUAGUAAUAAUAAUACUUAUAUAAUAUGUGGUGAGUGAAUUGAGGGGGGGAGAAAAGGAAAAAGGAACCCCCUCUGAAAAGAAAAGUUCCCCUUUUACCAAUUCCAUUAGAAAUAAAAAACAGAAAUCGUAAGCAAAACGAAAAUCUAAGAAAUUUACUGAAAAUCUAAAAAGAUGGAAGAACGUGAAGACAUCGUUAAGGAAACCAUGGAGAAAACCGAUGAAGAAGCGUUGCAAGCAAUGUCCAUUAAGCUGGUGUCCAGCGGCAGUUACAAUGUGCGGGCAUCCGAAAUGGCCCAUGAUCGGCAGCUGAAAACAAUCACCUGUUUGGUACACUUUCUGGAUGAUACCGAAGAAUAUUUCGAGAUUGAUAAACGGAAUAAAGCUCAGGCACUGCUUGAGAAAGUCUACGAUCAUCUUGAACUCAUUGAAAAAGACUACUUUGGUCUUCAGUUCUUAGAAGUUGCACCAACACCUGAAGGAAUGAGAUGGGUUGAUCCUUUGAAAACGGUAAAGAAACAAUGCAGAGGUCCAACAUACGAGUUUUAUUUUCGAGUGAAAUUCUAUGUGUCUGACCCCAGCAAGCUGAGUGAAGAAUAUACUAGAUACCAUUUCUUCCUCCAAUUAAAGAAGGACCUUUUAGAAGGUCGGCUGGUCUGUCCUCAUUCUACCUCGGCACUAUUAUCAAGUUAUGCAAUCCAGUCUGAAUUAGGUGACUAUAAUCCGGAAGAUCACAAAGGAAAUUACCUGUCUGAAUUCCGGUUUAUUCCCAGCCAAACUGUGGAGUUUGAACGACAAGUUAUAGAAUAUCACAAACAACACAGAGGUCAAACUCCAGCUGAGGCUGAGUAUUGUUUCUUAGAACGAGCAAAACGCCUGGAGAUGUAUGGUGUUGAUUUACACAAUGCCCGGGAUCAAAGCAAUCUCGAGAUACAACUUGGAGUUACUUCAGCAGGUCUUGUGGUAUUUCAGAACUUUAUAAAAAUCAACACAUUCUCAUGGGAUGAUGACAAAUAUGAUCAGGAAGACCGUGCAGACUACUACUACCCUGGACUUAGUAGGACUAGUGAGCAAACCGAUAGGGCAAAAAUAGUGAAGAUAUCCUUUAAACGAAAACAGUUUUUCAUUCAGUUACGUCGAGAAGUGAAUGAUACAGUUGAAAAUUUGAUUGGUUUCAAUAUGGUCAGUUACCGCUCUUGCAAGAAUCUGUGGAAGUCCUGUGUUGAACACCACACGUUUUUCCGUCUUCAUGCACCAAACCCACCAUCAAAGAAAAUUUUUUCAUUAGGUUCUAAAUUUCGAUACAGUGGCAAAACAGAAUAUCAAACUCUAGAAGAAAGUAAGCGGCGAGCCAAAAUUGAAAGGUCUUUCUCAAGAACUGAUGGGAUGCCGAAAAGUCCUUCCGAAAUCUUCAGGUCACCUAGCAAGCGGUACGCUCGGCGAACCGUUGGUGGUGUUACGAGAAGUACAAUAUCAGAGGAACGUAAUACCAUCGAUGGUUGUCGGAACCUACCCAAGUCUCAUACCUUUGCAGCAGGCUCCUCAAACUCUUACCAAAAUUUUAAUCGUUGUGAUGGAUCUUUAAGGUCAACGUUACCAUGUGAUUACAAAUCCAGAAUGACCUGGGCUGAUAGUAACAAAUCAGAAAAGUCAGAUGAUGAUGGUGGUUUCUUAUCUCGAGGGCCAUCAACUAGGACUGCUGGAACUUACGCUGCUGAUCAAGAUACAGUCCCUGAAUCUCUAUAUGAUCUUCCUGCAUACAAUGAUGGUUACAUGGCAGAUGCAAUACAAUUGCUCUUGUUCAGCAUUAAUUCCCUGAAGUCAAAUGGCAAUGGUUAUACUGACAGUCAAGGAUUAGUUACCAUCAAAAUGAAACCGGAUGAACAAGGGAAAUUUGGGUUUAAUGUGAAGGGUGGAUCUGACCAGUGUAUGCCCAUCAUAGUUUCUCGGGUGGCACCCAAUACCCCAGCAGAUUUAUGUAUACCUCGGCUAAACGAGGGCGACCAAGUGUUAUUUAUAAAUGGCCGUGAUGUUUCUCAACACACUCAUGAACAGGUUGUGAUGUUUAUCAAAGCGUCUCGGGAGACACAUUCAGGAGAAUUAGCUCUUAUUAUUAGACCUAAUGUUUAUGUUAGUGAAGAUAAUGCGGAAGAGCCAGACUUGAUGUAUAUACCUGAGACACACCAAAUAGCAAGUACCAUGUCUGGGGCCAACACUCUCCAGGCCUCCAUGAUGCUCCUGCAGGAGAGUCUGGAGAGUGGGGCUGCCAUGGCACAGUUUGAACAACUUUAUAGAAAAAAGCAUGGCCUGACAAUGAAUGCAGCAAGGUUACCUGCCAACAUCUCAAAGAACAGAUACAGAGAUGUGUCACCCUAUGACCAGACCCGAGUGAUAUUAAAAGGUAGUCAAAAUGGGGACUAUAUAAAUGCCAACUUUGUAAAUAUGGAAAUUCCCGGAUCUGGCAUCAUCAAUCGAUAUAUUGCAGCUCAAGGCCCAUUACCUAACACAUGUGCUGACUUUUGGCAGAUGGUUUGGGAACAACAUUGUACAUUGGUUGUUAUGUUAACUACAAAAGUAGAAAGGGGACGUGUGAAAUGCCACCAGUACUGGCCGGACUUAUACGAAACAACUGACUUUGGCAUUUUACAGAUCACUUGUGUCAAAGAAGAAGAAACUAUAUCAUUUGCUUUCAGAGAAUUCACAUUAACACAUGUAGAGACUAACCAAGAGAGACAUAUAAAACACAUGCAGUACAUUGCUUGGCCAGAUCAUGGUGUACCUGAUGAUCCAGCUGACUUUUUAGAUUUUGUGAUCCGGGUUCGGAAGAAUAGGAUUGGAAUGGUUGAGCCUACUGUGGUGCAUUGCAGCGCUGGAAUUGGUCGGACAGGAGUUCUAAUUACAAUGGAAACAGCUAUGUGCUUAGUGGAAGCCAAUCAAACUGUAUUUCCUCUUGCAAUUGUACGCCAGAUGAGAGAUCAGCGAGCAAUGCUUAUACAGACAGCUAGUCAGUACAAAUUUGUCUGUGAAGCCAUCCUGCGAGUAUACCAUGGGAGAUAAAUCUAAGGGAUUUGCCCUUUUGGAUCAUCCACCUGGUUUAUAUAUAUAUAGAUAUAAAAAAUACAAAAAUAAACAAACCUAUAACUGCUGAGAAUGGUUCAACAAUUGGGAAGAGACAGUCGUCCAACCCCUUGAUGAUUAUCAACGAUGACCUGAUGAUAUCUCUGCUGACUGCUCUCAUGGACCUAGGACAGGGCUGGCCACAGAUAAUGAAGAAAUGAAGCUUUUGGUGCUUCCAUUUGUUAGACUGACUAACAUGAAGAAAACAAGCUUUUUUUUUUUAAAUAGAGGAAAGAAAAUGCAACAUUAUAUAUAUAUAUAUAUAUAUAAAAAAAUCAACCAGCUAUAUUGAAGACAGCGACUUUUUCCAACGUUAAUGUAGCUGUUGUGGCAGCAAUCUUGGUCACAUAGCUGAUUGAUUCCUGAAAACUUUUGCCAAGAGUUUAGUGUUUCUUCAAAGUAGCCAUUGAUACAUUUCAUAAAGUUGUGCUACUGGAAUUAUCUUUGCUGGCACUGGCCACCCUUACCAUGAUGAUACCCACCUACCUACCCAGUUAACUCCUGCUCCACUCACACCCUUUAUGCUGCAGCCAAUGCCAUCACAACCUUCCUCUCCUCUUCUUCCUCUCCCAAAUGAAAUACAACGAUACCAAUACCCUUACCUGUCAAUGAAUGGCUAUGCGGAACAUGUUGACUGAUCUCUGAUUAACCUUAAUUUCCAUUCACCACUGUGACCAGCAACCAAUCCUUUAUAUACUCAUCCUCUAAUCACUGUGAUUUGCAGUUGUUCAUUUAUUUAGCCACUAACAACCUGUUGCACACUAACUGGAGUGGGGGGGCUCUGUCUACCAUUGUUAGCUACAAGCAAGUUCAUAACAGUUUUAAGGACUGAUAUAGACAAUUUGGUUUAUUUUAAUUUGUUUUGAAAAUAAGCUGCAAAUCCCAGCCAAUUGAGAAGAAUUAGGAAUGGAAAACAUGCAGUAAAGGCUAUUUAGUUUAUUGGACUUAGUUAAGCUUGCCUUUUAGCUUUUGAUUUCUGAUGCUUGCAUGUCUGGGGAUAACAAGAAGUUGCCCUUUAAUUUGGAUACGUCUAGCUGAGAAACCAUAAGAUUGUGUCUGAAAAAUAUAGAUAUAUGACUGUGUGUGUGUUUGCUUGAAAGCGUUGAGAUGAGUUACUCUCUUUCAAAUUGUUUUUAUAAUAGUUUUUCAACACAAUGCUCGUGUGUGUGUGUGUGUGAUAAAAUGUCAGUUUAACACAUUUCAAUCUCUCCCUUUGUGAAUUCAAGAGUAUUUACAUUUAUAUAUCUUUUAUACUGUAAUCAACCCUUUACCUCUUCUUUCUGCCCCUCUUAUUUAACCUUAUUUUCCUUUCUCUAACAAACUUCUUUUUUUUUUCUUUCACCCUUUGAAAAUUCGAAAGCCCAAAUCACAGUAAAAACAGCUUAUUUUACCUCUCCAUAAAUUUGAAAGUAAUUGUCCUUUGUGUAAGUGUGUGUAAAUAUGUAUUUUCAAGCCAAAUAUCAAAUGAUUCGUUACAGCCUUAUCAUGCUGAUUCUACUCAAGAAUUAUGUUAAGGCUACAACUACAAGAGUCUGUCGAGUGCUCAGCUAAGCCAGAUCCACUUUUUUCCUGCCUUGUCUCAUAGCUAGUGCAAUGUUCAUAGUUGCAUUACAAGUUGCUUGCUCUAGUAUUCAGGAGGCCCCCUUUGUUUAAUUAUGUUAGUAAUUGAUAUAAAAUGCAGUGAAAUGUCUAUUUGGUUGUGCAGCUAUAGACUCACAUAAGAUAGUAAGUUUACACUUAAGUUUUUUUUAUAUUAUCAUGCCAAUAUUUUUCAAUGCAUGUCACUGCUUUUGAAUUUUUUAUGGUGCAAAUGCUGUGAAAAUGGGUUCCAACCAUAUCAUUGCAGUAUUUCUCUCUGUCUCUCGCUGAGUUAAAAUAUUCAACUUGUUUCAGUUUGUCAGCAGAAAAAUAUAUUUGUUUAAACAUUUCUUCUUCAUAUCCAAUACCUGCUACCAUGAAGAAAUCAACCAGAAAUAUUACUUUAUUGAAAAAUAAAUCUCAGUGGUUCAUAGAGGUUUGAGAUUCUUUGUUAUAGUAAAGGAAGGGUUCUGUAAUUUUACAGUUUCCAUUGAGUUUCAUUUAUUUUAAAUAAACCCAUUGUUGAAAUUACUCGAUACCCAAUGCCUCAGAAAUUUGCUGUCACUUAGUAAUUGUUUCUCCCAACCAUUUCUUUCAUUCCUCAGACAAUCGCUACAGUAAUGACUAUUCUCCCCUGCCACCAUAAUUAUUAUUAUUAUUAUUAUUAUUAUUGGCAAACUGCAGCUGAUUCCAAGCAAAUAAAUUAAGAAGCUGAUUGGACCCAACAAACUCCUAAUGUCUCCUCAUUCAACCCCACCCCUUUGUGUAAGACAGUUUUUAAUCAAUGUAAAUAGUGUAACAUUCUAUUUUCAUUGCAUAUAUUUUUUUUUCUCGUGCCAUAUCCCCCCCCACCCAUGAUAUGUCUGCAUGGCCAUUAAGUGUCAUCAGCUAGGAGCCAAUCUCCACAAUCUGUGUAGAAUUUAUUUAAUGGGAUUCAUGGAAAAUAUAAGAUUUACUUUAGACAUAUAAAUGUCUUUUUUUUUUUUUUUUUUUUUUUUUUUU